GACGAACGCUGGCGGCGUGCUUAACACAUGCAAGUCGAACGGAAAGGCCCUGCUUUUGUGGGGUGCUCGAGUGGCGAACGGGUGAGUAACACGUGAGUAACCUGCCCUUGACUUUGGGAUAACUUCAGGAAACUGGGGCUAAUACCGGAUAGGAGCUCCUGCUGCAUGGUGGGGGUUGGAAAGUUUCGGCGGUUGGGGAUGGACUCGCGGCUUAUCAGCUUGUUGGUGGGGUAGUGGCUUACCAAGGCUUUGACGGGUAGCCGGCCUGAGAGGGUGACCGGCCACAUUGGGCCUGAGAUAAGGCCCAGACUCCUACGGGAGGCAGCAGUGGGGAAUAUUGCACAAUGGGCGGAAGCCUGAUGCAGCAACGCCGCGUGCGGGAUGACGGCCUUCGGGUUGUAAACCGCUUUCGCCUGUGACGAAGCGUGAGUGACGGUAAUGGGUAAAGAAGCACCGGCUAACUACGUG
rnacentral:rRNA from 1 species